GUUGGGAGGAGUCGUAGCACAGUGAUGAUCAGUCUGAAUAGUCUCCCGAUGGCCUAUGGUACCAAACCCAGAUCCAGAUUCAUUGUCAUCCAAUAUUAAAAAUAGGAAACAACAUCUCAACGUGAACGUGAAAGACGAUUCCAAAGUGGAUUCAGGUUAUGAUUGGGACGCUGACAUGAUGAGGGGAAUUACAGCAUUUACAAGCAUUGUUGGAUGAAGUGAGCCAUGGACUAUGCAGCCAAUAACAACGGGCCGCCGUAGGUCAAUGUGAACGUUGGGCCGUGGGCGCUGGUAGCGCACCGGUGCCUCUGUAGAACGAGGGCCGGGGAGAGGUGUAAGCGAAAGACGAGACACCUCUCCCGCGUGUGCUACCAGCAUCGAGAUCAUUACACAGCGGAAGAGAUACUUGAGAUGGUUAACAGAAGGCGGCCGAGGUGUGAGGCGUUGACAUUGAAAGGGCUGCAGUGUAGCUGCGAUGCUACGAGGCAGUAUGUUAAUCAAUGCUGCACCCAACACUAUCAAGUAGAAUGUGAGGAACCUAUUGAAGAAUAGCUGAGGAAUGGAAAGAGUCCCUCAGGAAGGCUAAGUGAGAAAGUGCGUCGUUAUCGAAGGUAAGUGCUUAUUUGAGAAGGGUAAGGACAAACAUAAUGAAAAACCAUGAAAAGUAGUAGUAAAUAACAUAUCUAAAUUAGUGCAUCGAAAAUAGAUUGGUUUUAGAUUGGUUGAGAGCUCGUCAUGUGACCAGAUAUAUUUUAACCAUUUUAAGGUUGCUCUGACAAAGUACUAAUUGAGAAAUACUAUUAGGGAGUUGAAAUUUUUUGUUGUUGGUAAUUUUU